rnacentral:sRNA from 1 species
CCGAUCCAUUUUAUUUGUGGGUGUGUCGGGUUUGACCAAUCAGAUCACGUCAUCUGAUGCGGCGUAUAAGGUCGGACAUUGGUCGGACAUCGCUACAUGAAAAUGGCGAUUGUUUACGCAUCGAAACUGUAAAUCUGGGUGUUAUUUUUCGAUUGAGUUCAAUAUAAUGGUGAAGCACUGUUCGUAUGGGACAUGUAAAUCGGAUAGCAGGUAUCCAGCGAAACUUAUGGGAGCAACAUUUAUCCCAUUUCAGAAGCCGAAGUCUGAUUUAGAGAAAUGUUUGCGAUGGAUAUCAUGCUGUCGAAGACCACAUGCCCAGCUUAACGUUGACAAAAUUACGAAGCAUACAUAUGUGUGUUCUAAGCAUUUCAUUAUAUUGGAUGGCCCUUCAGAUGAAUACCCAGAUCCUUAUGAUGCCCAGACUGGUGAGCUGCACAGAGCAAGGCGAGAGAUCAUAUACUUGUCUCAACAGUCAAAAUCAGAUGAUUUAAACAGCAAGACCAGUACCAGUACUGAUGAUUCACCAUGUUCUCAAGCAAUGGAAUGCUGUUUAACAACACAGACAACUUCAAAUCCUGUCAUAGAUUCCUCAUUCCAAACAGAAGAAGAAUUAUUUUCAUCUAUGGAUGUGCUUUCAUGGGUUGCACAAGUUAGAAAACUGGAGGAAGAAAAUGACAGGUUGCGACAGGAAAUCAGACAGAGAGGGAAAGUUUCUGAUGCUGCUUGCCAAACAGAGAGAGAUACAAUUUUCACUGCUGAAGAAGUUUCAAAGUCAAAGAUCAGAAACUUGUUUGAAUUUUACACUGGAUUAAGUUAUAGUAGAUUUCUCAUGCUUCUUGUGUUUCUCUUUCCAAGUUGUGAAAAUCCAAUCAUUUUGAAGACAAAAGAAAAGAAACACAUAUUUACAAGUUUCCUUUGUCACAGCAGUUGUUUAUGUACCUGUGCAGACUAAGAAAUGCUUUAAAUGUGAAAGAUUUAGCAUUCAGAUUCAAUAUUAAGGUUCAAACUGUGUCAACAGUAAUUAAUGGGGUAGCGAAGUACAUGUAUUUGAGAUUAGGUUCCUUAAGUUAUUGGCCCCAUCGAAAUACAAUCAUAGGAAUCAUGCCAGAAUCUUACAAAUAUGAUUUUCCAAACUGUUUAGCUAUUCUUGACUGUACAGAGCUAAAAACUGAAAAACCUUCAUCAUUGAAACAGCAAAGUCAGUGCUAUUCAGACUACAAAUCAUCCAAUACAUUAAAAGCUCUUGUUGUUUGUGAC